CACAUCGGAACCCAGGUACUAUGUAUAUGUGCUGACAGGGACUCAAAGACACAGAGCUCUCGGCUGAGGCAGAACUAAACACAUCUGUGCAGUGGAGCCCAUGCCUCAUGCCGCUCUCCAGCCUGCUCGGGGUCUUCCUGGCCCUCAUCUUCUCUGGAUCAGCAGUGGCCCAGACAGUUACUCAAGACCAGCCAGCAGUAUCCUCUCACGUAGGGGAGACAGUCACCCUGAACUGUCGGUAUGAAACAAGUUGGAGCUACUACUAUAUUGUUUGGUACAAGCAGCCUCCGAGUGGAGAGAUGACUUUCCUUAUUCGUCAGGAUUCAUCUAGCGGGAAUGCAAAGAGUGGCCGCUACUCUAUAAACUUCAGGAAAGCAGAAAAAUCCCUCAGCCUCACCAUCUCAAACUUACAGCUGGAGGAUUCUGCAAAGUAUUUCUGUGCUCUUGAUGAAAGCACAGUGCUUGAAGUAAUAGGACGAGCCGAACAAAAACCCCAGAGCGCAGUAAGAGAGAGCUCCCUGCUGCAGGAGCCAAGCCGAGAUGCACACCUGCAGCCCCCAGAGAAGACACGGCAGCCCUGUGGGUGUGUGGUCUGUGGUCCGGAUCAGAAGACUUAAUUGUAAAUAAAAGCUCCUUUUAUGUCACUUGAGAACAGGUGUCCAGAGGAACACUCUACUAAUACAUUCUCAGUCUUGAAUGUUCGACUUCAAAUCAAUCAUGCAGAAUAUGUGUAAAGUUUUCUAAACUUAAAAAACUUGCCUCAUAAUAAUUUAAAGCAGCAACUUCACUUAAAGAUGCUCAUAUCACAACCCUGGGUGUGGUAAACUGGAAUUAUCAUGAAAGUCACUUCCUUAAUCCUUUCCUCUUAAGCUUUGUGUCAGUGAGGGCACAAUUAGAGAAGCGGAACCACAUAGAAUGAAGGAUUCGCUAUAAGAAUAAGAACUCAGGGAAUUGCUAAAGCUGGUGGAGGCGUCUAUAUAAAGCUGUUAUCUUUGCAUCUGGUGUUGAGCCUGAAUUCACUGUAAGUUAACUAGAGUGACAUUUGUGAUAGAAUGUUGGAUAUGGACAAAUGCAUGGACAAACUGAGACUUGUUGGACACAGUAGAACCAGUGAAGACAAGUGGAACACUAAAGCUGUCUGUCUCUCACCUCCUGUCUCACAACAGUGGGUGUCCUUCAGGAGUAAUGGAUGUCAUUUGCCCUCAUGCUACAUGCACACUUGGCCCAAGGCAAAGAAGAUGAGGAGGAGAUCUGGUGGGAGGUGGGCGAGCUGUGAGUCAACAGUAAGUUCGGGUAACCCACCAGCAGCAACAUGUGUGAGCUACCACAGUGCCUGGAGCCCUGCCCCAGCCAGCAAGAAAAAUACGGCUACUUCAUGACAAGUACUUUCUAAAUCUUGCACAAGUCUCUUUCAUGUCCCACUCUAACCCAGGACAAUACAGGGAAGCAAAUUCUGGGAGAUACUUUUACAGAUAGUUACUUUGAGACAGUACAAAGUUACUCUAUUACCCUCCUUGUCAACCAGGCAUCAUUCUGUAUGUACCACUUGUAACAGUACUACUCUUAAAUAAAGAGGAUAGAAAACCA